UACGAAGGGAGCUAGCGUUGUUCGGAAUCACUGGGCGUAAAGCGCGCGUAGGCGGCUUUGCAAGUCAGAGGUGAAAUCCCACAGCUUAACUGUGGAACUGCCUUUGAAACUGCAAGGCUAGAAUGUGAGAAGGGAUGGCGGAAUUCCUAAUGUAGAGGUGAAAUUCGUAGAUAUUAGGAGGAACACCUGUGGCGAAAGCGGCCAUCUGGAUCACAAUUGACGCUGAAGUGCGAAAGCGUGGGUAGCAAACAGG
rnacentral:rRNA from 1 species